rnacentral:rRNA from 2 species
UACGGAAGGUCCGGGCGUUAUCCGGAUUCAUUGGGUUUAAAGGGAGCGUAGGCCGUGGAUUAAGCGUGUUGUGAAAUGUAGGCGCUCAACGUCUGACUUGCAGCGCGAACUGGUCCACUUGAGUGUGCGCGACGCAGGCGGAAUUCGUGGUGUAGCGGUGAAAUGCUUAGAUAUCACGAGGAACCCCGAUUGCGAAGGCAGCUUGCGGGAGCACCACUGACGCUGAGGCUCGAAGGUGCGGGUAUCGAACAGG